rnacentral:rRNA from 1 species
GUCGAACGAGCGAGAGAGAGCUUGCUUUCUUGAGCGAGUGGCGAACGGCUGUGUAACGCGUGAGGAACCUGCCUCAAAGAGGGGGACAACAGUUGGAAACGACUGCUAAUACCGCAUAAGCCCACGACCCGGCAUCGGGUAGAGGGAAAAGGAGCAAUCCGCUUUGAGAUGGCCUCGCGUCCGAUUAGCUAGUUGGUGAGGUAAUGGCCCACCAAGGCGACGAUCGGUAGCCGGACUGAGAGGUUGAACGGCCACAUUGGGACUGAGACACGGCCCAGACUCCUACGGGAGGCAGCAGUGGGGAAUAUUGCACAAUGGGGGAAACCCUGAUGCAGCGACGCCGCGUGGAGGAAGAAGGUCUUCGGAUUGUAAACUCCUGUUGUUGAGGAAGAUAAUGACGGUACUCAACAAGGAAGUGACGGCUAACUACGUGCCAGCAGCCGCGGUAAAACGUAGGUCACAAGCGUUGUCCGGAAUUACUGGGUGUAAAGGGAGCGCAGGCGGGAAGACAAGUUGGAAGUGAAAUCCAUGGGCUCAACCCAUGAACUGCUUUCAAAACUGUUUUUCUUGAGUAGUGCAGAGGUAGGCGGAAUUCCCGGUGUAGCGGUGGAAUGCGUAGAUAUCGGGAGGAACACCAGUGGCGAAGGCGGCCUACUGGGCACCAACUGACGCUGAGGCUCGAAAGUGUGGGUAGCAAACAGGAUUAGAUACCCUGGUAGUCCACACCAUAAACGAUGAUUACUA